AUAGAUACUUAAUAUCUGUAUUAAAACCAUGAGUUCACACCAAUACCUCCAAUUCCUAUCCAGCACCACAGUGGUUUUUCUUGCCUUCACCUUUUCCACAUUUACAACUCCCCUUUCCCCAGUGAGAAACCUGGUUUUCAUUAUCCUUGAUAUACAUUUAAGCAAAUUUUUGCUAUGUAGGCCAAAAUUACAAGAGCGGGAGGAGGAGGAGGAGAAAGGACAGGAAGAAGGAAGAAAGAGGAAAGAGGAAGAGUUUUGUCUUUUUAUCUUCAUUUUACAGAACGAUUGCCCUCUUUCAGAAAUAAGGAAGAGAAGACCCAGAAUGGCAGGGAAGGGGAUAACUGCCCCAAGAGAAACAGCUUGUUGGUCUCAUGAGAGGAGUCUCCCCAUUACAGACUUCAUCUCCGGAUUAAAUAAAGAUGGGGAAACUGAGACGUAUGAAACUUGAUGCCUCCCAUAAGUGAUACAGCAAGAAGUGAUAGGACUGGAAGUCAGACUCUUUGGAAGUGUUCAUGUCUUUUGCAUCCCUUCCAACGCAUCUCCUUGCCCAGUGCCUACAGAAGAUUUUUUCCACCUCUCAUCAUGUCAAUAAAAAAAGUAACUAAAAAGUUGUCUCCCAUGAAACAUUGUUUUGUGUUAGGGUUUUUGCAUUUAGAAAGCAAAUCCAACCUGUCCAAAAGAAAGUCUUGAUCUUCCUCCCACAGACUUGCCCUAUUCAUGUCUUUCCCAACCUUCCAACUGUUUAGGCCAUGAACUUUUAUCAUCCUUGAUUUUCUUCAUUAUCUCAUAUCCCACAUCCAAAGCAUCAGCAAAUCUUAUAAAAGAUACCUAGAAUCUAACCGCUUCUCAACACUUCUGCUACUGCCACCUUAAUCUAAGCUUCUAUCAUCUCUGACCUGCAUUAUAGUGGAAACCUACCAACUGGUCUCUGUGCUUCCAUUCUUGCUUAUCCCAAUAGUCUAUUCUCAAACAGCAGCCAGAAUCAUUCUGUUAAAACAUGUAAGUUAGGUCAUGCCACUUUUCUGCUCAAAAAGCUCCAUUGACAUCUCAUCUGACUCUGAGUAAAAGGUUAAGUUUUUUUUUUUUUUUUCAAUAAGAAUCCUUAUUUAUAAAAGGCCUUAUUCACACCCCUGUUACAUAACUGACUUUAUUUCUUUUUACUCUUUUACUUGAUCAUUCUGUUCCAUAAAUUUCUUCUUUUCCUCAAAAUGCCAGUCAUACCUAGGAUGCUCCCCUCCCAGAAAUCUGAGUGUUUCACCCCUUGCUUUGCUACAAGUCUUGGCUCAAGUGAGACUUACCUUGACCUUCCCACUUAAAAUUUCAAACCCUUCCCUAUUCCCCCCGUGCUCCUCUAUGUUCUGUUAUUUUCCAUAGCACUUAUCAGCAUAUAAAAUAUGAUAUCACUUACUAAUUUUUCUUAUUGUCUGUCUCCCCUGAAAAGAAUGCAAACCCAACAAAAGCAGGCAGUUUUGUCUGUUUUAUUUACUGAUGUAUCUGUAGCACUUAGAACCCUGCUUAUCACAUAGCAGAUGGUCAAUGAUUAUUGUUGAAUGAAUAAGUUGUGUCCGACUCUUUACAACUCCAUGGACUCUAGCCCACCAGGCUCCUUUGUCCAUGAGAUUCUCCAGGCAAGAAUACUGGAAUGGGUUGCCAUUUCCUUCUCCAGGUAUAGCAUGAAUAAAUGAAUUAGAUGUAUCUAGAUUUCUCAUUUAAGCAAUAAAACUUGAAAUAUUAUGUAAAAAGACAAAGUCACUAAUAAAAUACAUAUCUUUAUGUCCUGUUGCAACUUGAAAAUAUACUAUAAGACAUGGCAUGUUCAGAGUACAAGGAGAAAGUGACAUUAAAAAUCAUUUUUCCAGUAUGGAUAUUCCUUUAAAAACUAGGAAUAAAACCACCAUAUGACCCGGCAAUCCCAGUACUAGCCAUAUACCCUGAGGAGACCAAAAUUGAAAAGACACACAUACCCCAAUGUUCACUAUAGCACUAUUUACAAUAGCUAGAACAUGGA